rnacentral:misc_RNA from 1 species
AAGUCGUAACAAGGUUUCCGUAGGUGAACCUGCGGAAGGAUCAUUAAUGAAACGUCAGGACGCUCUUUUUAGAGGUCCGAACAAUCAUUACCUUCACCCUGUGCACAAACUGUUUUACACAAUAUUACACACCAAAGUCUUUGAAUGUCAAGUCUCUGAAAAGAGCAUAAACAAAUACAACUUUCGGCAACGGAUCUCUUGGCUCCC